GAUGAACGCUGGCGGCGUGCCUAAUACAUGCAAGUCGAGCGAAUGGAUUAAGAGCUUGCUCUUAUGAAGUUAGCGGCGGACGGGUGAGUAACACGUGGGUAACCUGCCCAUAAGACUGGGAUAACUCCGGGAAACCGUGGCUAAUACAGGAUAACAUUUUGAACCGCAUGGUUCGAAAUUGAAAGGCGGCUUCGGCUGUCACUUAUGGAUGGAACUGCGUCGCAUUAGCUAGUUGGUGAGGUAACGGCUCACCAAGGCAACGAUGCGUAGCCGACCUGAGAGGGUGAUCGGCCACACUGGGACUGAGACACGGCCCAGACUCCUACGGGAGGCAGCAGUAGGGAAUCUUCCGCAAUGGACGAAAGUCUGACGGAGCAACGCCGCGUGAGUGAUGAAGGCUUUCGGGUCGUAAAACUCUGUUGUUAGGGAAGAACAAGUGCUAGUUGAAUAAGCUGGCACCUUGACGGUACCUAACCAGAAAGCCACGGCUAACUACGUGCCAGCCGCCGCAGUAA
rnacentral:rRNA from 1 species